CGCAUCUGUGCAUGCAGCAUAUCAAUAAGCGGAGGAAAAGGAAACUAACAAGGAUUCCCCUAGUAACGGCGAGUGAAGCGGGAAGAGCUCAAAUUUGAAAUCUUAAAGGGUUUCCCUUUACGAAUUGUAGUUUAAAGAAGUGUUUUCUGUUGAGGUUUUGGUAAAAGUUCUUUGGAAUAGGGACAUCAUAGAGGGUGAGAAUCCCGUAUUUGACCUUUACUUUCAACUUUGUGAUACACUUUCAAAGAGUCGGAUUGUUUGGGAAUGCAGUCCAAAAUGGGUGGUAAAUUUCAUCUAAAGCUAAAUAUUGGCGAGAGACCGAUAGCGAACAAGUACCGUGAGGGAAAGAUGAAAAGAACUUUGAAAAGAGAGUUAAACAGUACGUGAAAUUGUCAAAAGGGAAGCGUUUGACACCAGUGUUGUUUUUCUGAAAAUCAAUUAAAGAACUGUUUAUGCUAAGUUGUUUAGACUUUAUCAGCUAACUGUUUAGUUUUGAGCUUUUCUUUAAUGCACUUUUCAGUUAACAAGUCAACAUCAAUUUCUUUUGCUGUAAAAAAGCUUGAGGAAGGUGGCUUGAGAUUCGUCUUAAGUGUUUAUAGCCUCUUGCCUAUGCAGUCGGAGAGAUUGAGGUCUGCAGCGUAGAUCCUUCGGGGCUAAAUGCAUUCGUGCUAAGUUAUAGCAUUUUAUAGACAACUUGUUGACUAUGAUUUGUCUUGUAGCUUACUCGCUUAUGUUAUUUUACCUACGCUUAGGAUGUUGACAGCAGUAUAGACUGU
rnacentral:rRNA from 1 species